AUGGCUGUCCUGGUGCUGCUCCUCUGCCUGGUGAACUUUCCAAGCUGUGCCCUGUCCCAGGAGCAGCUGAAGGAGUCAGGACCUGGUCUGGCGCAGCCCUCACAGAGCCUGUCUCUCACCUGCACUGUCUCUGGGUUCUCAUUAACCAGCUAUGGUGUACACUGGGUCCGCCAGCCACCAGGAAAAGGACUGGAGUGGGUGGGAGUAAUAGGGUAUACUGGAAGCACAGAUUAUAAUUCAGCUCUCAAAUCCAGACUCAGCAUUAACAGAGACACAUCCAAGGGCCAAGUGUUCUUAAAAAUGAACAAUCUGCAAACUGAGGACACAGCCAUGUAUUACUGUACCAUAUACACAGUAAGGGAACUCAAGCUUGUCCAGUGUGAGGUGCAGCUGGUGGAGACUGGGGGAGGCCUAGUGCAGCCAGAAAAGUCCCUGAAACUCUCCUAUGCAGCCUCUGGAUUCACCUUCAGUGACUAUGGCAUGAACUGGGUCCGCCAGGCUCCAGGAAAAGGACUGGAGUGGGUCACACACAUUAGUAACACUGCUGCUACCAUCUACUACGCCAAUGCCAUUAAUGGCUGA